rnacentral:rRNA from 1 species
GAGGACUAUUUCCGGGGUUCUAUACAUGCAGUCGAACGCUUUGUGGUCCAACUGAUUUGAAGAGCUUGCUCAGAUAUGACGAUGGACAUUGCAAAGAGUGGCGAACGGGUGAGUAACACGUGGGAAACCUACCUCUUAGCAGGGGAUAACACUUGGAAACAAGUGCUAAUACCGUAUAACACUAAUAACCGCAUGGUUAUUAGUUAAAAGAUGGUCUUGCUAUCACUAAGAGAUGGUCCCGCGGUGUAUUAGCUGGUUGGUAAGGUAAUGGCUUACCAAGGCAAUGAUACAUAGCCGAGUUGAGAGACUGAUCGGCCACAAUGGGACUGAGACACGGCCCAUACUCCUACGGGAGGCAGCAGUAGGGAAUCUUCCACAAUGGACGAAAGUCUGAUGGAGCAACGCCGCGUGUGUGAUGAAGGGUUUCGGCUCGUAAAACACUGUUGUAAGAGAAGAAUGACAUUGAGAGUAACUGUUCAGUGUGUGACGGUAUCUUACCAGAAAGGAACGGCUAAAUACGUGCCAGCAGCCGCGGUAAUACGUAUGUUCCAAGCGUUAUCCGGAUUUAUUGGGCGUAAAGCGAGCGCAGACGGUUAUUUAAGUCCGAAGUGAAAGCCCACAGCUUAACUGUGGAAGUGCUUUGGAAACUGGAUAACUUGAGUGCAGUAGAGGAGAGUGGAACUCCAUGUGUAGCGGUGAAAUGCGUAGAUAUAUGGAAGAACACCAGUGGCGAAGGCGGCUCUCUGGACUGUAACUGACGUUGAGGCUCGAAAGUGUGGGUAGCAAACAGGAUUAGAUACCCUGGUAGUCCACACCGUAAACGAUGAGUGCUAGAUGUUUGAGGGUUUCCGCUCUUAAGUGUCGCAGCUAACGCAUUAAGCACUCCGCCUGGGGAGUACGACCGCAAGGUUGAAACUCAAAGGAAUUGACGGGGACCCGCACAAGCGGGUGAAGCAUGUGGUUUAAUUCGAAGCAACGCGAAGAACCUUACCAGGUCUUGACAUCCUUUGACCACUUCAAAGAUGAAGCUUUCCCUUCGGGGAACAAAGUGACAGGUGGUGCAUGCUUGUCGUCAGCCUCGUGUCGUGAGAAUUGUGGUUAAGUCCCGCAACGAACGCAACCCUUAUUACUAGUUGCAGCAUUCAGUGGCCACUCUAGUGGAAAACUGCCGUGAACAACGAGGAAAGGUGGGAUAGGACGUCAAAUACUCUAGCCCUUAGACUUGCUAACACUGGUCUCAUGGCAAGUACUCGAAAGCUAACCGAGAGAUACGCAUUCUCUAAACUGGUUCUCCAUUCGAAAAUGGUAGAG